rnacentral:pre_miRNA from 1 species
UCUUAUGCAUGAGCAAAGAAAAGUGGUCUCUUGGGAUAGAAUCUACUGCUGAUGAAAAUUCUGUGAA